rnacentral:rRNA from 1 species
GAUGAACGCUGGCGGCGUGCUUAACACAUGCAAGUCGAACGGUAUCCAAGGGGUGCUUGCACUUUUUGGUGAGAGUGGCGAACGGGUGAGUAACACGUGAGUAACCCGUCCUUUUCUUUGGGAUAAGCAUUCGAAAGGGUGUUUAAUACCUUAUGUUCUGUCUGCCUCGCAUGGGGUGGGUGGGAAAGGCUUUGGCCGGUUUUGGGUGGGCUUGCGGGUUAUCAGCUUGUUGGUGGGGUGAUGGCUUACCAAGGCUUUGACGGGUAGCCGGCGUGAGAGGGUGGGCGGUCACGUUGGGACUCAGUUACGGCCAGGACUCCUGCGGGAGGCAGCAGUGGGGAAUAUUGGACAAUGGGCGAAAGCCUGAUGCAGCGACGCCGCGUGGGGGCUGAAGGCCUUCGGGUUGUAAACUUCUUUUGCUCUGAACAAGGCAUGACAGUGGGUGUGUUGAGGGUAGGGGUGGAUUAGCGCCGGCUAACUACGUG